UGAUUACCUCAAGCAGCAAGGAAGAUAAGGUGAGGCUAACCUUGCGCGAUUUCAGGUCCAAGCAGAAGAAGAAGGUAUCGACAACCCUUGGCAAAUCCUCCUCGGCGACCUCUAAGAAGAAGAAGGAGGAGGUGACCUCUCAAGGAGAAAUUAGGAAAAUCUGGAAGUUGCAGAGCAAGAUAGAUGCAAAAGAAGUGAAAAUCAGUGGACUUGUUGAUACCCUGGAAAAAGAAAAAGCAGCAAAGUUGUCACUUGAAUGUCAACUUGCAGCAGCACAGAAGAAGGCAUCCGAGAAGUGGCGGAUUCCAGUCUACUGACUUGUCACCAAAAUUGUAGCAGCACGAAGGAGCACCAACUGAUCCAUCACAGAAGAAGGCUUUGGUUUUGGUUUUGGUUUGCAUGAGAAGGGAUCUUCUGUGCGUUCAUGUCCCUGCUAGUCAAGUACUAUGUGUCCUGUAGGUGCUCAUCUCAAGUAGAAUUGUGUCCCUGCUAGUCAACUAGUAUUAUGUGAGCUGGUGUUGUAUGUGACCUAUCACCAAAAUGUACUAUGAUAUUAUGUACUGUGAUAUAAAUGUGCUUUGAUAUUGUGUUAA